AAAAAAACUAAAAAGAAAAAUAAAUUAUAUAUUAAAAAUAAAUAUUUCAAAACCAAGGGAAUAAAAAUAAAGCCACAAAGAAAAAGCUAAAUCUAGGGGAAGGGUUCAAUUAGAAUGGUGGACAAAUAUUUGAAAACAUAUGGCAUGCUCUUAAUAAGUAGUGGAAAAAAAGUAGGGAAAUAUAUCUUGAACUGUUUUACUAUGAAGUGGAAUCCUUUAUGUAUUAAUUGGCAAUAAUAAAAGAGUAAAAUUGUGCAUUUGGUUGAGGAUAUAGAGAUUAGAGAUAGCUUUGAAUUGUUAGUGGCAGUCAGUAUGCACUUCUUCAACUAAAAUAUUUGCAGUGUAUGCCACACAUGAAUGUUUUCUCAUUUAUGACGUAACAAUUUCACAGGUGCCUCUGAGGAAGUCAAGAACAAGAACAAUGACAUCCACAGACAACUUUUCUUGGCAUUGUUGUUAAUCAAUUGAGUAAAAUUAAUGGACAUCCCUACAAAUAUUGGUGGAUAAAUAAUAGCUAUCAGGUAAAUGGCUUGCUUUACGAUGUGCUCCCUGACACGAUAUGCUACCUUGAGAAAAGAUAUUUUGGCACAUCAUGCAUUAUUUUGGACAAUUAAACUGGUACUGACUUUUCAGAAAAUAAUUGGUCAUAAUUAUAUAAAAUAUUAUAAUUAUAUAAAAAUAUUUCUAGAACUAUUAGUGCAUUAAAACAUGUGAGUAAUACACAAUGCCUGCCUUUAGAGAUUAUUGUGAAAAUUAAAUAAGUAUAUGGAAAUUGUUAAUUUAAUCUGUUUGGCAAGCAGUAUGUGCUUAAUAAAUGUCAGCCACUUUUGUCA